ACAAAGGUUUUAUUUUUAACAAAACCACCUUUAACAAUAAAAAACAAGUUAU
rfam:Lucilia cuprina strain LS Scaffold196, whole genome shotgun sequence.